rnacentral:rRNA from 1 species
UUAAGUUAAUAAGGGCGCACGGUGGAUGCCUUGGCACUAGGAGCCGACGAAGGACGUGACAAACGACGAUAUGCCUUGGGUAGCUGUAAGUAAGCGAUGAUCCAGGGAUUUCCGAAUGGGGGAACCCAACAGGUAAUACCUGUUACCUACAUCUGUUAAGGAUGUGAGGAGGAAGACGCAGUGAACUGAAACAUCUAAGUAGCUGCAGGAAGAGAAAGCAAAAGCGAUUGCCUUAGUAGCGGCGAGCGAAACGGCAGAAGGGCAAACCGAAGAGUUUACUCUUCGGGGUUGUAGGACUGCAAUGUGGACUCAAAGAUUAUAGAAGAAUGAUUUGGGAAGAUCAGCCAAAGAGAGUAAUAGCCUCGUAUUUAAAAUAGUCUUUGUACCUAGCAGUAUCCUGAGUACGGCGGGACACGUGAAAUCCCGUCGGAAUCUGGGAGGACCAUCUCCCAACCCUAAAUACUCCCUAGUGACCGAUAGUGAACCAGUACCGUGAGGGAAAGGUGAAAAGCACCCCGGGAGGGGAGUGAAAUAGAACCUGAAACCGUGUGCCUACAACAAGUUCGAGCCCGUUAAUGGGUGAGAGCGUGCCUUUUGUAGAAUGAACCGGCGAGUUACGUUAUGAUGCGAGGUUAAGUUGAAGAGACGGAGCCGUAGGGAAACCGAGUCUGAAUAGGGCGCCUUAGUAUCAUGACGUAGACCCGAAACCAUGUGACCUACCCAUGAGCAGGUUGAAGGUGCGGUAAGACGCACUGGAGGACCGAACCAGGGCACGUUGAAAAGUGCUUGGAUGACUUGUGGGUAGCGGAGAAAUUCCAAACGAACUUGGAGAUAGCUGGUUCUCUCCGAAAUAGCUUUAGGGCUAGCGUCGACAUUAGAGAUUCUUGGAGGUAGAGCACUGUUUGGGUGAGGGGUCCAUCCCGGAUUACCAAUCUCAGAUAAACUCCGAAUGCCAAUGAAUUAUGGUCGGCAGUCAGACUGCGAGUGCUAAGAUCCGUAGUCGAAAGGGAAACAGCCCAGACCACCAGCUAAGGUCCCAAAAUAAUUGUUAAGUGGAAAAGGAUGUGGGGUUGCACAGACAACUAGGAUGUUAGCUUAGAAGCAGCUAUUCAUUCAAAGAGUGCGUAAUAGCUCACUAGUCGAGUGACCCUGCGCCGAAAAUGUACCGGGGCUAAAACAAUUUACCGAAGCUGUGGAUACCUUUAUAGGUAUGGUAGGAGAGCGUUCUAUGUGUGAUGAAGGUAUACCGUGAGGAGUGCUGGAACGCAUAGAAGUGAGAAUGCCGGUAUGAGUAGCGAAAGACAGGUGAGAAUCCUGUCCACCGUAAGACUAAGGUUUCCAGGGGAAGGCUCGUCCGCCCUGGGUUAGUCGGGACCUAAGGAGAGACCGAAAGGUGUAUCCGAUGGACAACAGGUUGAUAUUCCUGUACUAGAGUAUGUAGUGAUGGAGGGACGCAGUAGGCUAACUAAAGCAGACGAUUGGAAGAGUCUGUCUAAGCAGUGAGGUGUGAAUUGAGUCAAAUGCUUAAUUCUAUAACAUUGAGCUGUGAUGGGGAGCGAAGUUUAGUAGCGAAGUUAGUGACGUCACACUGCCAAGAAAAGCUUCUAGCGUUUAAACAUACUCUACCCGUACCGCAAACCGACACAGGUAGUCGAGGCGAGUAGCCUCAGGUGAGCGAGAGAACUCUCGUUAAGGAACUCGGCAAAAUGACCCCGUAACUUCGGGAGAAGGGGUGCUGACUUUAAGUCAGCCGCAGUGAAUAGGCCCAAGCAACUGUUUAUCAAAAACACAGCUCUCUGCUAAAUCGUAAGAUGAUGUAUAGGGGGUGACGCCUGCCCGGUGCUGGAAGGUUAAGAGGAGUGCUUAGCGUAAGCGAAGGUAUGAAUUGAAGCCCCAGUAAACGGCGGCCGUAACUAUAACGGUCCUAAGGUAGCGAAAUUCCUUGUCGGGUAAGUUCCGACCCGCACGAAAGGCGUAAUGAUUUGGGCACUGUCUCAACGAGAGACUCGGUGAAAUUUUAGUACCUGUGAAGAUGCAGGUUACCCGCGACAGGACGGAAAGACCCCAUGGAGCUUUACUGCAGUUUGAUAUUGAGUGUCUGUACCACAUGUACAGGAUAGGUAGGAGUCUAAGAGAUCGGGACGCCAGUUUCGAAGGAGACGCUGUUGGGAUACUACCCUUGUGUUAUGGCCACUCUAACCCAGAUAGGUGAUCCCUAUCGGAGACAGUGUCUGACGGGCAGUUUGACUGGGGCGGUCGCCUCCUAAAAGGUAACGGAGGCGCCCAAAGGUUCCCUCAGAAUGGUUGGAAAUCAUUCGCAGAGUGUAAAGGUAUAAGGGAGCUUGACUGCGAGAGCUACAACUCGAGCAGGGACGAAAGUCGGGCUUAGUGAUCCGGUGGUUCCGUAUGGAAGGGCCAUCGCUCAACGGAUAAAAGCUACCCUGGGGAUAACAGGCUUAUCUCCCCCAAGAGUUCACAUCGACGGGGAGGUUUGGCACCUCGAUGUCGGCUCGUCGCAUCCUGGGGCUGUAGUCGGUCCCAAGGGUUGGGCUGUUCGCCCAUUAAAGCGGCACGCGAGCUGGGUUCAGAACGUCGUGAGACAGUUCGGUCCCUAUCCGUCGCGGGCGUAGGAAAUUUGAGAGGAUCUGCUCCUAGUACGAGAGGACCAGAGUGGACUUACCGCUGGUGUACCAGUUGUCUUGCCAAAGGCAUCGCUGGGUAGCUAUGUAGGGAAGGGAUAAACGCUGAAAGCAUCUAAGUGUGAAACCCACCUCAAGAUGAGAUUUCCCAUGAUUAUAUAUCAGUAAGAGCCCUGAGAGAUGAUCAGGUAGAUAGGUUAGAAGUGGAAGUGUGGCGACACAUGUAGCGGACUAAUACUAAUAGCUCGAGGACUUAUCCAA